GAGUGUCCUACAAGGCUUGUGUGGGUGACGGCAAGCCCGAUCCAUUUCUGCACCCUUCCUCCACAAUCUUAAGAGUGUAUAGAGAGGCCUGAACUGGGCGCAGUCAUGUAUAUGGUCCAGAUGGUCUCAGCACAUCUCAUGGCUGUGCCCUUGGGGCAGCUUCCGGGAGCAGGACAGCAAGCAGGAUGCACAUCCUAAGGACAUGGGAGCAGAAGAAGAUAAAUUCCUGGGCCCUGAUCCAUUUAGACUGGAGUCAACUCAUUAAAGGUGUUGGAAAUGUCUCUUGGUUGCUCAGGAUUUGGAUCACAGACCUUUCUCAGGAGCUGUGGGUGUGUCAGCCGUCACACUGAAGGGAAUGGAGGCCCAAGGAGCAUCAGAGGCUCCCAGACAUGUCUGCUGGAGAUCAGAAGGCUGAGGAUCCUCUGAUGAACUCCCCCCAGAGGCACCAGCCCC